rnacentral:rRNA from 1 species
UGGGGAAUAUUGCACAAUGGGGGAAACCCUGAUGCAGCGACGCCGCGUGAACGAAGAAGGUAUUCGUAUCGUAACGUUCUGUCCUAUGGGAAGAUAAUGACAGUACCAUAGAAGAAAGCUCCGGCUAAACACGUGCCAGCAGCCGCGGUAAUACGUAUGGAGCGAGCGUUGUCCGGAAUUAUUGGGCGUAAAGGGUACGCAGGCGGUUUAAUAAGUCGAAUGUUAAAGAUCGGGGCUCAACCCCGCAAAGCAUUGGAAACUGAUAAACUUGAGUAGUGGAGAGGAAAGUGGAAUUCCUGGUGUAGUGGUGAAAUACGUAGAUAUUAGGAGGAAUAACAGUAGCGAAGGCGACUUUCUGGACACAAACUGACGCUGAGGUACGAAAGCGUGGGGAGCAAACAGG